rnacentral:rRNA from 1 species
UACAGAGGUCCCAAGCGUUGUUCGGAUUCACUGGGCGUAAAGGGUGCGUAGGUGGUCGGGUAAGUCUGAUGUGAAAUCUCGCAGCUUAACUGCGAAACUGCAUUGGAUACUAUUCGGCUGGAGGGUUGGAGGGGGGACUGGAAUACUUGGUGUAGCAGUGAAAUGCGUAGAUAUCAAGUGGAACACCAGUGGCGAAGGCGAGUCCCUGGACAACUCCUGACACUAAGGCACGAAAGCUAGGGGAGCAAACAGG